CCUACGGGAGGCAGCAGUGAGGAAUAUUGGACAAUGGGCGCAAGCCUGAUCCAGCCAUGCCGCGUGCAGGAUGACGGUCCUAUGGAUUGUAAACUGCUUUUGCACAGGAAGAAACAACGCUACGUGUAGCGUCUUGACGGUACUGUGAGAAUAAGGAUCGGCUAACUCCGUGCCAGCAGCCGCGGUAAUACGGAGGAUCCAAGCGUUAUCCGGAAUCAUUGGGUUUAAAGGGUCCGUAGGCGGUUUAGUAAGUCAGUGGUGAAAGCCCAUCGCUCAACGGUGGAACGGCCAUUGAUACUGCUAGACUUGAAUUAUUAGGAAGUAACUAGAAUAUGUAGUGUAGCGGUGAAAUGCUUAGAGAUUACAUGGAAUACCAAUUGCGAAGGCAGGUUACUACUAAUUGAUUGACGCUGAUGGACGAAAGCGUGGGUAGCGAACAGGAUUAGAUACCCUGGUAGUCCACGCCGUAAACGAUGGAUACUAGCUGUUGGGAGCAAUUUCAGUGGCUAAGCGAAAGUGAUAAGUAUCCCACCUGGGGAGUACGUUCGCAAGAAUGAAACUCAAAGGGAAUUGACGGCUGAGAGAGCGAGACGACGACGAGGGAGGAGG
rnacentral:rRNA from 1 species